rnacentral:rRNA from 1 species
GACGAACGCUGGCGGCGUGCUUAACACAUGCAAGUCGAACGGAAAGGCCCUGCUUUUGUGGGGUGCUCGAGUGGCGAACGGGGGAGUAACACGUGAGUAACCUGCACUUGACUUUGGGAUAACUUCAGGAAACUGGGGCUAAUACCGCCUAGGAGCUCCUGCUGCAGGGUGGGGGUUGGAAAGUUUCGGUGGUUGGGGAUGGACUCGCGGCUUAUCAGCUUGUUGGUGGGGUAGUGGCUUACCAAGGCUUUGACGGGUAGCCGGCCUGGGAGGGUGACCGGCCACGUUGGGACUGAGAUACGGCCCAGACUCCUACGGGAGGCAGCAGUGGGGAAGAGUGCACAAGGGGCGGAGGCCUAAUGCAACAACGCCGCGUGCGGGAUGACGGCCUUCGGGUUGUAAUCCGCUUUCGCCUGUGACGAAGCGUGAGUGACGGUAAUGGGUAAAUAAGCACCGGCUAACUACGUG